rnacentral:misc_RNA from 1 species
UGCAGUGCACUAAAAACAAGACAUGGUGAGUAAGCAAAGAGGGCGAGAGUCAUAAGAUUUGCCUCCAAAAAAUUUUCAUUGCCCCGAAAAAACAUCCAAUCCCGCUUUCAAUUUUGGCAUCAAAUUUUUUUGAACCCCGCCUUUCCCAUUUCCCCGCCCUAUUGGCUUCCUUUCCCCUUCAUCAAUCCCUAAAAUCACACUCGGUUUGCACUCAAAAUCAC